GACGAACGCUGGCGGCAGGCUUAACACAUGCAAGUCGAACGCAUCGCAAGAUGAGUGGCAGACGGGUGAGUAACGCGUGGGAACAUACCCUUUUCUACGGAAUAGCUCUGGGAAACUGGAAUUAAUACCGUAUACGCCCUACGGGGGAAAGAUUCAUCGGGGAAGGAUUGGCCCGCGUUGGAUUAGCUAGUUGGUGGGGUAAAGGCCUACCAAGGCGACGAUCCAUAGCUGGUCUGAGAGGAUGAUCAGCCACAUUGGGACUGAGACACGGCCCAAACUCCUACGGGAGGCAGCAGUGGGGAAUAUUGGACAAUGGGCGCAAGCCUGAUCCAGCCAUGCCGCGUGGGUGAUGAAGGCCUUAGGGUUGUAAAGCUCUUUCACCGAUGAAGAUAAUGACGGUAGUCGGAGAAGAAGCCCCGGCUAACUUCGUGCCAGCCGCCGCCGUAA
rnacentral:rRNA from 1 species